rnacentral:rRNA from 1 species
UACAGGGGGGGCAAGCGUUGUUCGGAAUUACUGGGCGUAAAGGGCUCGUAGGCGGCCAACUAAGUCCGACGUGAAAUCCCAAAGCUUAACGUUGGAACUGCGUCGGAUACUGGAUGGCUUGAAUUCGGGAGAGGGAUGCAGAAUUCCAGGUGUAGCGGUGAAAUGCGUAGAUAUCUGGAGGAAUACCGGUGGCGAAGGCGGCAUCCUGGACCGACAUUGACGCUGAGGAGCGAAAGCUAGGGGAGCAAACGGG